UUAAGUGACUAAGCGUACACGGUGGAUGCCUAGGCAGUCAGAGGCGAUGAAGGGCGUGCUAAUCUGCGAAAAGCGUCGGUAAGGUGAUAUGAACCGUUAUAACCGGCGAUACCCGAAUGGGGAAACCCAGUGUGUUUCGACACACUAUCAUGUCAUGAAUACAUAGUGGCAUGAGGCGAACCGGGGGAACUGAAACAUCUAAGUACCCCGAGGAAAAGAAAUCAACCGAGAUUCCCCCAGUAGCGGCGAGCGAACGGGGAGGAGCCCAGAACCUGAAUCGGCUUGUGUGUUAGUGGAAGCGUCUGGAAAGUCGCGCAGCAAAGGGUGAUAGCCCCGUACACUAAAAUGCACAGGUCGUGAGUUCGAUGAGUAGGGCGGGACACGUGACAUCCUGUCUGAAUAUGGGGGGACCAUCCUCCAAGGCUAAAUACUCCUGACUGACCGAUAGUGAACCAGUACCGUGAGGGAAAGGCGAAAAGAACCCCGGCGAGGGGAGUGAAAUAGAACCUGAAACCGUGUACGUACAAGCAGUGGGAGCACCUUCGUGGUGUGACUGCGUACCUUUUGUAUAAUGGGUCAGCGACUUAUAUUUUGUAGCAAGGUUAACCGUAUAGGGGAGCCGUAGGGAAACCGAGUCUUAACUGGGCGAUUAGUUGCAAGGUAUAGACCCGAAACCCGGUGAUCUAGCCAUGGGCAGGUUGAAGGUUGGGUAACACUAACUGGAGGACCGAACCGACUAAUGUUGAAAAAUUAGCGGAUGACUUGUGGCUGGGGGUGAAAGGCCAAUCAAACCGGGAGAUAGCUGGUUCUCCCCGAAAGCUAUUUAGGUAGCGCCUCGUGAACUCAUCUUCGGGGGUAGAGCACUGUUUCGGCUAGGGGGCCAUCCCGGCUUACCAAACCGAUGCAAACUCCGAAUACCGAAGAAUGUUAUCACGGGAGACACACGGCGGGUGCUAACGUCCGUCGUGAAGAGGGAAACAACCCAGACCGCCAGCUAAGGUCCCAAAGUCAUGGUUAAGUGGGAAACGAUGUGGGAAGGCAUAGACAGCCAGGAUGUUGGCUUAGAAGCAGCCAUCAUUUAAAGAAAGCGUAAUAGCUCACUGGUCGAGUCGGCCUGCGCGGAAGAUGUAACGGGGCUAAACCAUGCACCGAAGCUGCGGCAGCGACGCUUAGGCGUUGUUGGGUAGGGGAGCGUUCUGUAAGCCGUUGAAGGUGGCCUGUGAGGGUUGCUGGAGGUAUCAGAAGUGCGAAUGCUGACAUAAGUAACGAUAAAGCGGGUGAAAAGCCCGCUCGCCGGAAGACCAAGGGUUCCUGUCCAACGUUAAUCGGGGCAGGGUGAGUCGACCCCUAAGGCGAGGCUGAAAAGCGUAGUCGAUGGGAAACAGGUUAAUAUUCCUGUACUUGGUGUUACUGCGAAGGGGGGACGGAGAAGGCUAGGCUAGCCGGGCGACGGUUGUCCCGGUUUAAGCGUGUAGGGGGUGUGACCUGGUAAAUCCGGUUGCAUAUUAACCCUGAGGCGUGAUGACGAUGCACUACGGUGCAGAAGUAGUUGAUGCCCUGCUUCCAGGAAAAUCCUCUAAGCAUCAGGUAACAUUAAAUCGUACCCCAAACCGACACAGGUGGUCAGGUAGAGAAUACCAAGGCGCUUGAGAGAACUCGGGUGAAGGAACUAGGCAAAAUGGUGCCGUAACUUCGGGAGAAGGCACGCUGGCAUGUAGGUGAAGUCCCUUGCGGAUGGAGCUGAAGCCAGUCGAAGAUACCAGCUGGCUGCAACUGUUUAAUAAAAACACAGCACUGUGCAAACACGAAAGUGGACGUAUACGGUGUGACGCCUGCCCGGUGCUGGAAGGUUAAUUGAUGGGGUCAGCCGCAAGGCGAAGCUCUUGAUCGAAGCCCCAGUAAACGGCGGCCGUAACUAUAACGGUCCUAAGGUAGCGAAAUUCCUUGUCGGGU
rnacentral:rRNA from 1 species